rnacentral:rRNA from 1 species
GACGAACGCUGGCGGCGUGCUUAACACAUGCAAGUCGAACGGAAAGGCCCUGCUUUUGUGGGGUGCUCGAGUGGCGAACGGGUGAGUAACACGUGAGUAACCUGCCCUUGACUUUGGGAUAACUUCAGGAAACUGGGGCUAAUACCGGAUAGGAGCUCCUGCUGCAUGGUGGGGGUUGGAAAGUUUCGGCGGUUGGGGAUGGACUCGCGGCUUAUCAGCUUGUUGGUGGGGUAGUGGCUUACCAAGGCUUUGACGGGUAGCCGGCCUGAGAGGGUGACCGGCCACGUUGGGCCUGAGGUACGGCCCAGGCUCCUACGGGAGGCAGCAGGGGGGAGUAUUGCGCAAUGGGGGGGAGCCUGCUGCAGCACCGCCGCGUGCGGGAUGGCGGGCUUCGGGUUGUAAACCGCUUUCGCCUGUGACGAAGCGUGAGUGACGGUAAUGGGUAAAGAAGCACCGGCUAACUACGUG